GUCUGGAAAUCUGCUGUGAAUUUUAACGUUUUCCAUGCAAAGAUUGAGUGUAAGCUGGCAGUUUAAUUUCACUUUUGAAGGACCAAAAUGCUGUUAGGACUUCCUAGUUAUACAAUUAGGAUUGUCUUGUUUGGAAGAUGACCAUGAAGUGACAACAGAGCCAUCCUUUCCCUGCCAGAUUCCUGUCCUACAGGACGCUCAGCCUUCAGUGACAAGUCCUCUCCUCUGAUGGUUGCAGACUGUAAUGUUCCACUGCAAGCACAGCUGGCUGUUUGGGGUGGCUGACACACAGAGCUGCACCUGCUGGAAUAGAUGCUAAGAAAAGAGAUGUGUUCUGAGAGAUACAAAGGCAUUGUCCGAUCCGUGAUGAAUUGCAUGGGCAAAAGACUUUGUUAAGACCAACCUGUGUGACCUCCUGCAUUGACCAUCUGCUGGCUCCUCGUUGGGUGACAGAAAGCCUUUCAAUAUGCUACCAAACUGAUAGAAAUUACCCUGAUCUGAUGGUCUACAGCCUUGUACCUACCUUGCCUUGGUUGGCUGUUCUGAGAGCCUCCUACCAAGAUUUCCUGUUGCCUCCAUUUUAGAGGAGCUCUGUCUUUUCUCCAAUGAGUGGAAGUUAGUAAGACCCAGCAGAUGCUGCUGCCUGAGUUCAGUCAGCAGAGUAACACUGUGAUUCCUUCCAGCUUCUUUGCUUGUACAUCGAGAGGAAGGAGGAUGCUAACUUCAUAACUUCUCCCCAUUGUGCCCCAGAGGUUAGGCACCUUGCCAUACACAGAUGUUAUCAAAAAAUGGAAUCAUUUUAUAAAUAAACUGUGAGUUAACAACGGUCUACAUAAAUGUAUGCUUUGGU